rnacentral:lncRNA from 1 species
CUUAGGUAUAAGGGUGUAUAAAUUUUCGUAUGUCUUUAAAAAUUAAAUAAAUUAAAAUUAUAAUGUAUAUCUUAAAAUAAAUAAUUUAUUUGUAUCUAUAUAUUUUGGCUGUAUAAAAAAAAAAAAAAAAAAAACAGAGUUACACGUGUAUAUAUUUCAUGCUUAUCGUUACACGAUAUCUUUUAAACUAUUGCUACUAUUUGUUCCAACACUUUCUUCACUGUUCUUUUUUUCAAGUUAAUAAGCUUCAUAAAAUAUCUAUAAAAAUUUAAAUAAAACAUGAAUGGUGGCAACAAUGUGGAUAACAAUAAAAACAUGAUUUAUAAAAACAAUAACAACAAUAUGAAUAGCAACAAUAUGAAUAGCAACAAUAUGAAUAGCAACAAUAUGAAUAGCAACAAUAUGAAUAGCAACGAUAUAAAUAGCAACAAUAUGAAUAACAACAGUCUGGGUAAAAACAACUUGAAUGCCAAAAACAUGAAUGACAACUUGAAUAAAUAUAAAAAAGCCGUAGAUGAUAUCAAACAUAUCAAGAAUACAUACUUAGAGUAUAACUUACAACAAACUAAGGAAAACUUCCAAACGAAGCAUAAUUUUACUAACAACCAAAAUGAAGUAAGCAAUACAAGCAAUAAUAAUAAAUACAACAAUGUUAUAAAUCAUAAUAAUGUUAAAAAUAAUAAUGUUAUAAAUAAUAAUGUUAUAAAUAAUAAUGUUAUAAAUCGUAAUAAUGUUAAUAUACAACAUUAUACAAAACGUUCAUCUUUUUUAUGUGAUUUUGCAACAUACUACAAUAACAAAAUUAAUAUGAUGCAAAAUAGUAGUGAAGACGAGUUAAAAACGGUACAGCCAGAUUAUCAGUUAGUUAAUAAAAAUAACGAUAAUAUAAAAAUAAAAAAUAAACUCAUAUUUGAUAAUAAAGAUAAUAAUAAUAAUGUAAUUAGUAAGGAAUGUGUCAAUACUUCUAUCAAUAAAAUAGAAAAAGUAAACCUGAUACAAAAUUCUCAAAUGAUAAAGCGCAACGAGCCACAUGAAGUACGUAAGCAAUCAGUGGCUCCUUUACAUCAUACGCCUUAUAUAGAUAAGUUUGAUAUCGUUAUAGCUAAUAAAAAAAAAAACAAUAAUAUAAAAAACAGCAUGAAUGAUUUAAAAAAAGACAUGACACGGUAUGAUGUAAAUAUAUCUAACAUGAACAAUAAUUAUAUGAUUAAAAAUCCAUACGUCAAAAAACUAAACAGUCAGAAUAACCGAAGUUCUUUUGUUAAUAAUAAAAAAACUAGUGCUCCUCUCAAAAUUAUGUAUACAACAAAGGAUGC